UGUAAGCGGGGAAUAACCCGUUGAAAGACGGACUAAUACCGCAUAUAAACUAAUUACUGCAUGGUAAUUUAUUUAAACAUUUAUGGCUUACAGAUGGGCAUGCGCAUGAUUAGCUAGUUGGAGAGGUAACGGCUCCCCAAGGCAACGAUCAUUAGGGGUUCUGAGAGGAAGGUCCCCCACACUGGUACUGAGACACGGACCAGACUCCUACGGGAGGCAGCAGUGAGGAAUAUUGGUCAAUGGACGAGAGUCUGAACCAGCCAAGUCGCGUGCAGGAAGAAUGUCCUAUGGAUUGUAAACUGUCUUUUGCAGGGGAAUAAAGUGCAUCACGUGUGAUGUUUUGUAUGUACUCUGCGAAUAAGGAUCGGCUAACUCCGUGCCAGCAGCUGC
rnacentral:rRNA from 1 species